AGCUGUCAGAGAGUCCCUCUCCAGUUACCUGCCCUUUUUUCUUCUCUUCUGUGCUGGGAACCAGUGGCUGUUGGACAGCAGCUAAGAGCCCAACGCAUGUGCUCUUCUGAGAACCAGGGAACGCAAUGCAUUGGGAUUAUUUUAUUGGCCACUCUUAAGUCUUUUUAAGUGUGAUUCUAGGGCUGCAAGGAGAUGAAGAUAUCAACAAGUGAGGAGAAGGUUGGUAUUAUACACAUGAUGGCCUGGCCAAUGUGAACCUUGCCCACUGUGCCCUGGGGCUCCCCAAUGGUGAUCCAUAUACCUCUCUGAAGCCUGGACUGGUGACAAGAUGAGAUAAGCGACAAGACUAUUCACCAGAAAGUUCAGUCCCCAAGGUCUCUUAGAGAAACCCCUAUAUAAAACCUCCCAAGAAGCCUACUGUUUGCAGCCACUGCACAGCACGCUCCACGGGGAAAGGAACUUAGUUUAAUUGGAUACAGAUUUUUUUAAAAAGGUAAUUGCUAUCUUUCAAUAACAUUUGAACUAUUGAUCCAAAAGAUACUUUUAUACACCACUAUCCCUGUGGGUAACUGUUACAGAAUUAAAUCUAACAAUUGCGAUGCCA
rnacentral:lncRNA from 1 species